rnacentral:misc_RNA from 1 species
AUCAAAUUAACAUGAUUCUUGGAGUGAACGGCUUGUAGAUUUUGAUCUGCUGCUUCUUUGGCAUUCAAAACAACACACCUUUGAGGAAUGUUGUUGGCAACGAGUUUGCUCCAAAUGGCCUUGAUGCGAUUGGGGUUCUCGGGAUGAUAAUCAUCAUCAGGAGUGUGAUGCUUACACAUCCGCUCAUCGUACAAAAUCCCCACGAGCC